rnacentral:rRNA from 1 species
AACGAACGCUGGCGGCGCGCCUAAUGCAUGCAAGUCGAGCGAGAAGACGUAGCAAUACGUUUGUAAAGCGGCGAACGGGUGAGGAAUACAUGGGUAACCUACCCUCGAGUGGGGAAUAACUAGCCGAAAGGUUAGCUAAUACCGCGUACGCUCCUUGGACUUCGGUUCAGGGAGGAAAGCGAUACCGUGGGUAUCGCGCUCUUGGAUGGGCUCAUGUCCUAUCAGCUUGUUGGGAGGUAACGGCUCACCAAGGCUUCGACGGGUAGCUGGUCUGAGAGGACGAUCAGCCACACUGGCACUGCGACACGGGCCAGACUCCUACGGGAGGCAGCAGUAAGGAAUAUUGCGCAAUGGGCGAAAGCCUGACGCAGCGACGCCGCGUGGGGGAUGAAGGUCUUCGGAUUGUAAACCCCUUUCGGGAGGGAAGAUGGAACGAGCAAUCGUUCGGACGGUACCUCCAGAAGCAGCCACGGCUAACUUCGUGCCAGCAGCCGCGGUAAU